CUGGAGGAUUCCGUGAUUGUUCCAAAACUGGCAGGACGGGCAGUCCCGGAGAAGCAUAACUGCCGGGUCUGAAGCUCCAACGACAACGUGCUCGUCGAAAGACACCGCAUUCGGUGACGAUAUGUGGUGACGCUGCGAGCCGCAAUGUGGCGUCGAGG
rfam:Burkholderia sp. SRS-W-2-2016 contig36120, whole genome shotgun sequence.